UGGGGAAUAUUGGACAAUGGGGGCAACCCUGAUCCAGCGAUGCCGCGUGUGUGAAGAAGGCCUUCGGGUUGUAAAGCACUUUAGGUUGGGACGAAGGGUGGUACGUGAAUAGCGUAUCAUUUUGACGGUACCGACAGAAUAAGCACCGGCUAACUCUGUGCCAGCAGCCGCGGUAAUACAGAGGGUGCGAGCGUUAAUCGGAGUUACUGGGCGUAAAGGGCGCGUAGGCGGUUUUUUAAGUGAGAUGUGAAAUCCCCGGGCUUAACCUGGGAAUUGCAUUUUAGACUGAAGGACUGGAGUACAGUAGAGGGUGGUGGAAUUUCCGGUGUAGCGGUGAAAUGCGUAGAGAUCGGAAGGAACAUCAGUGGCGAAGGCGACCACCUGGACUGAAACUGACGCUGAGGCGCGAAAGCGUGGGGAGCAAACAGG
rnacentral:rRNA from 1 species